UUGNCGGUCUGUAGAAUAGGAUCGGCNGCUCCGUGCCAGCNGCCGCGGUAAUACGGAGGAUCCAAGCGUUAUCCGGAAUCAUUGGGUUUAAAGGGUCCGUAGGCGGUUUAGUAAGUCAGUGGUGAAAGCCCAUCGCUCAACGGUGGAACGGCCAUUGAUACUGCUAGACUUGAAUUAUUAGGAAGUAACUAGAAUAUGUAGUGUAGCGGUGAAAUGCUUAGAGAUUACAUGGNAAUACCANUUGCGAAGGCGGGUUACUACUAAUUGGAUUGACCCUNAUGGACNAAAAGCGUGGGUAGCNAACAGGAAUUAAAAACCCUGGUAGUCCAAGGGCGAAUUC
rnacentral:rRNA from 1 species